UGUGUAAUGAGUGCAUCCCUGGGAGAGU
rnacentral:piRNA from 1 species